GGGGGUAUGGCGGAAUUGGUAGACGCUACGGACUUAAAAUCCGUUGGCUUAAGUGACCGUGAGGGUUCAAGUCCCUCUUCCCCCA
rnacentral:tRNA from 3 species